AGUGAACGCUGGCGGUAGGCCUAACACAUGCGAGUCGAACGGCAGCACAGUAAGAGCUUGCUCUUACGGGUGGCGAGUGGCGGACGGGUGAGGAAUACAUCGGAAUCUACUUUUUCGUGGGGGAUAACGUAGGGAAACUUACGCUAAUACCGCAUACGACCUACGGGUGAAAGCAGGGGAUCUUCGGACCUUGCGCGAUUGAAUGAGCCGAUGUCGGAUUAGCUAGUUGGCGGGGUAAAGGCCCACCAAGGCGACGAUCCGUAGCUGGUCUGAGAGGAUGAUCAGCCACACUGGAACUGAGACACGGUCCAGACUCCUACGGGAGGCAGCAGUGGGGAAUAUUGGACAAUGGGCGCAAGCCUGAUCCAGCCAUACCGCGUGGGUGAAAAAGGCCUUCGGGUUGUAAAGCCCUUUUGUUGGGAAAGAAAAGCAGCAGGUUAAUACCCCGCUGUUCUGACGGUACCCAAAGAAUAAGCACCGGCUAACUUCGUG
rnacentral:rRNA from 1 species